GAGCCGCUGGAUGGCAUGUUCACGUGUGCGAAAGGGACGGUAGCGGGUUUAAAUGCAUUACUUUGCUUUGGAAAAAGAGAAAACAACCAUUUUCUGAGACACUUGUAUCGGAACAAAAACGUGAGUGUUAAAACUCUGGGAACGCUACGGACAGCGCUAAAUGUCAGGACAAAUAGUGCGCAAGUCUAAUACAUCUGAACUUCGCAAAACAACAGUUCUAUACUCAAGUACACGCCAUGGAGACUAAAGAGGACAGCUGUGAUACGGACAGCACUGUCAGAACAAAUCGCGGUAAACGUAAAAACGAGGAGACGGAUGAGGCAGCAAAACAAGGCAAACGUAAGAAGCAAAAGAAGUGCGGCAAACAGCUGCGUCCCGGAGAGCGGUACGUGCCUCCGCCACAGAAACGCAACCCAGGCGUGAGUUUCAGCCAAGAACAUUUUGCGGAAACCUCCUACUAUUUUGAAAGCGGUCUUCGCAAAGUGUAUCCUUAUUAUUUUGAUUUUACGACUUACUGUAAGGGACGCUGGAUUGGUAAAACACUACUAGAGAUUUUUAAGAGUGAAUUCCGGGCGGAGUCUCUGGAUUACUACAAUAAGGCUGUCAAAGAGGGGCGUAUUAAAUUGAAUGAAACCCCUGUGGAUGACCUGAAUAUAAUACUAAAGAAUAAUGACUUUAUGAGGAACACAGUGCAUCGUCAUGAGCCCCCUGUGAGUGGGAGGCCCUUGGAGGUUCUGGUGGAUGAUGGUGAAUUGGUGGUGGUGGAUAAACCCGCCUCACUUCCCGUGCAUCCCUGUGGCCGCUACCGUCACAAUACUGUCAUUUUCAUUCUGGGAAAGGAGAAGGGCCUUAGUGGCCUCCACACAGUACAUCGACUGGACCGCCUCACCUCAGGUGUGCUGCUGUUUGCUCGUACACUUGAGGUCUCCAAAAAACUGGAUGCGAUGGUUCGUGAGAGACAGUUAGAGAAGGAGUAUGUGUGUCGUGUGGAAGGGGAGUUUCCAGAGGGUGAGGUGGUGUGUGAAGAACCCAUCCUGCUAGUGUCCUUCCGCGUGGGCCUCUGUAGGGUGGAUCCCAAAGGCAAAGAAUCCCGCACAGUUUUCCAGAGACUUAGCUAUAACGGGCGCUCUAGUGUGGUCCGCUGUCUGCCUCUCACAGGACGUACUCACCAGAUUCGUGUUCAUCUUCAGUUCCUCGGCUUUCCAAUCCUCAACGAUCCCAUCUAUGGGUCUUCUGCAUGGGGUCCAAACAGAGCCAAAGGAGGGCUAGUGGGUAUGAGUGAUGAAGAGCUUCUAGAAGCUCUUAUAAAAGAGCAUUGUUCAAAAGAGAAUCUGCACUUGUUGGAUUUGCCUGAUGUAGAGGUCUUAGGAAAGCAAGGGCCGAAGACAGAGUGUAGUGAUGGUGUUCAAGAACACAAUGAUCAAAUAACUGCACCUGCGUCGAGUGGUGUUGUGUGUGAUGACGGUUCGCGUAAAUUAACAGAGGAGGAAGUAAAGGCAGAAGGUAGUCAAGAACUUCACAAGAGCACAUCUGCAGCCGAGACUGCAGACAAGAUGAGUGGUGCUCAUAAAGAAAAGGAUUCAGUAUCAGAUGAAGCCUCCAGAACUGCAAAAUCGAAUGCUUUUGUCCGAGAUAAUUUAUGUGGUGAGUGUAAAAUUGUGCGACCUGACCCAACGGAGAAGGAUUUGAUUAUGUACCUACAUGCAUUACGAUACAAAGGACCUGGCUUUGAAUAUACCACCCAAAUGCCUGACUGGGCUAAAGAAGACUGGCUUCAGGAUUAAACUAAAAUCAGAUGUAUUCAUGCAUCAUUUGUUACCUGAUAUUACCGCACGUGUUUACAGAGAUUUUGUUUUUUUGUUCUCUUCGAUUACUAAAUAUAUUCUGAGUGAAUUAAAAAAAAACUACUUUUUAAAUUUCUUUUCAUUUAAGAUUUGUGGAUUUAUUAGUCAGUAUUGCGGUGCAUUUCUGUUUCAUCAAUUGUUUUGUUUCAGUUCCUUAUGUUUUGAGAAGGAAAACAUCUCAUCUGACAUGAGCAUACAGCAAUAAGUUUUUUUUUGUGGGAAUAAAAAUAAAUCAUUAUACAUAAAUA